AGCAGCCGCGGUAAUUCCAGCUCCAAUAGCGUAUAUUAAAGUUGUUGCAGUUAAAAAGCUCGUAGUUGAAUUUCGAGAUCAAAUUGUUGGUCGUGCCUCGGUACGUACUGGCAUUAUUGAUUUCUCCUUUCUGAAGAACCUUGAUGUCAUUAAUUUGGUGUCUUGGGGAAUCAGGACCGUUACUUUGAAAAAAUUAGAGUGUUUAAAGCAGGCUCACGCUUGAAUACAUUAGCAUGGAAUAAUGAAAUAGGACGUUUGAUUCUAUUUUGUUGGUUUCUAGGAUCGACGUAAUGAUUAAUAGGGAUAGUUGGGGGCAUUAGUAUUCAAUUGUCAGAGGUGAAAUUCUUGGAUUUAUUGAAGACUAACUACUGCGAAAGCAUUUGCCAAGGAUGUUUUCGUUAAUCAAGAACGAAAGUUAGGGGAUCGAAGACGAUCAGAUACCGUCGUAGUCUUAACCAUAAACUAUGCCGACUAGGGAUCGGAUGAUGUUAAUUUUUAAUGACUCAUUCGGCGCCUUAAC
rnacentral:rRNA from 1 species